rnacentral:rRNA from 1 species
ACGGCGACCGGCGCACGGGUGAGUAACACGUAUGCGACCUGCCCCCCGCAGGGGGAUAACCGGGAGAAAUCCCGACUAAUACCGCGUAACGCCGCGGACCUGCAUGGGUCUGCGGCCAAAGGAAGCGAUUCCGGCGGGGGAUGGGCAUGCGGCGCAUUAGCUAGUCGGCGGGGUAACGGCCCACCGAGGCGACGAUGCGUAGGGGUUCUGAGAGGAAGGUCCCCCACACUGGUACUGAGACACGGACCAGACUCCUACGGGAGGCAGCAG